rnacentral:rRNA from 1 species
CGGACGGGUGAGUAAUGUAUGGGGAUCUGCCUGAUGGCGGGGGAUAACUACUGGAAACGGUAGCUAAUACCGCAUAAUGUCUACGGACCAAAGCGGGGGGGCCUCCGGGCCUCGCGCCAUCAGAUGAACCCAUAUGGGAUUAGCUAGUAGGUAAGGUAACGGCUUACCUAGGCGACGAUCCCUAGCUGGUCUGAGAGGAUGAUCAGCCACACUGGGACUGAGACACGGCCCAG